GAUGAACGCUGGCGGCGUGCCUAAUACAUGCAAGUCGAGCGAACGGACGAGAAGCUUGCUUCCCUGAUGUUAGCGGCGGACGGGUGAGUAACACGUGGAUAACCUACCUAUAAGACUGGGAUAACUUCGGGAAACCGGAGCUAAUACCGGAUAAUAUUUUGAACCGCAUGGUUCAAAAGUGAAAGACGGUCUUGCUGUCACUUAUAGAUGGAUCCGCGCUGCAUUAGCUAGUUGGUAAGGUAACGGCUUACCAAGGCAACGAUGCAUAGCCGACCUGAGAGGGUGAUCGGCCACACUGGAACUGAGACACGGUCCAGACUCCUACGGGAGGCAGCAGUAGGGAAUCUUCCGCAAUGGGCGAAAGCCUGACGGAGCAACGCCGCGUGAGUGAUGAAGGUCUUCGGAUCGUAAAACUCUGUUAUUAGGGAAGAACAUAUGUGUAAGUAACUGUGCACAUCUUGACGGUACCUAAUCAGAAAGCCACGGCUAACUACGUG
rnacentral:rRNA from 1 species